rnacentral:rRNA from 1 species
AGCGGCGGAUGGGUGAGUAACACGUGGGGAACCCGCCCCUAAGUCUGGGAUACCAUUUGGAAACAGGUGCUAAUACCGGAUAAUAAAGCAGAUCGCAUGAUCAGCUUUUGAAAGGCGGCGUAAGCUGUCGCUAAGGGAUGGCCCCGCGGUGCAUUAGCUAGUUGGUAAGGUAACGGCUUACCAAGGCGACGAUGCAUAGCCGGGUUGAGAGACUGAUCGGCCACAUUGGGACUGAGACACGGCCCAAACUCCUACGGGAGGCAGCAGUAGGGAAUCUUCCACAAUGGACGCAAGUCUGAUGGAGCAACGCCGCGUGAGUGAAGAAGGUUUUCGGAUCGUAAAGCUCUGUUGUUGGUGAAGAAGGAUAGAGGUAGUAACUGGCCUUUAUUUGACAGUAAUCAACCAGAAAGUCACGGCUAACUACGUGCCAGCAGCCGCGGUAAUACGUAGGUGGCAAGCGUUGUCCGGAUUUAUUGGGCGUAAAGCGAGCGCAGGCGGAAAAAUAAGUCUAAUGUGAAAGCCCUCGGCUUAACCGAGGAACUGCAUCGGAAACUGUUUUUCUUGAGCGCAGAAGAGGAGAGUGGAACUCCAUGUGUAGCGGUGGAAUGCGUAGAUAUAUGGAAGAACACCAGUGGCGAAGGCGGCUCUCUGGUCUGCAACUGACGCUGAGGCUCGAAAGCAUGGGUAGCGAACAGGAUUAGAUACCCUGGUAGUCCAUGCCGUAAACGAUGAGUGCUAAGUGU